UCUUCGCUCAAGGACUUCUUCAAAAUAAUAUCAUGUUAAGCUGUUUGGAGAUUGUGUCCAUGUUGAUGCAUGGCUUGACAAUACGACAAGAAAAAAGAUCCUAUAGUUUGGAUAAACAUACUGUUUCUACAUACCCUGCCUUUACCUACUUAACACUCACAAUUCACUGUGGGAAACUAGAUGUUUGAAAAACACUCAGCCUCAGUCCUCCUUUCCAGUACAUCACAUGAACUGAACCCUCUCUAUAUAAACACUGAAAUACCAGAAAUACCACUGCUGAAGAAGCUUAUUCAUCCUGAGUUUUAUAGUGUCUGUCUGACUGAUUUGUCAAAGAGAUUUGCAGAUAGAGGCAAAACAGAACUAUUUUGAUGCCAGGUUUCUUAAAGCAGUAUUCAAAGCAGUAGAUACAUGUGAAAUGAAUCAGAGCAUAAAAGGUUCCUAACUUUUCCAUUUUCACUUUUUCCCCCUUUUCUUUCCCAGUUCUUUGGCAAAUCUCUGUCUCCUGAGCAGAUCAAAUUUCGGACUCCACUGUUUACGCAAGAGGAAAAUCAGAAAAUUCCCAUAUAGAAAAGAGUGUUUGCAGUUUGUAAACAAUGUGGAUGUGACAUCGUUAAUUUGUCUAUCACUAUGAAACUCUACGAGGAUCCUGAAUUUAAAAUUCACAUCUUAGGUCAGUGACUACACCACAGUGCACAGAAGCAACAUAUUUAUUGCAGAAUAUCUGUGAAGUGCCCACAACUUUCCUCUGCUGGCUGCAAUCCCCAAGGUUUCUGUGUGACACCAAGAAAAAUAGAGACAGCAUUAAAUCUGGGGGAAAUAUUUGUUUUGCUUAAAGGAACUUCAGCAACUGUUGAGAGAUGGCAUUGCAUUAUUAGUUUGUCCAGAAGCUGCUGAUACAUAAAUUAUUUCAGUCCUUGCACUCCAGCUAGAUCAUGACAAAGUAAGAUCAAUCUAUUUGUGGAUAGAUGCCCUAUAUUUUGGAUACAGGCUGGAAAGCAGAGGAUCUGAUGGGAACAAAAAUGUUCAGACUUUUGGACAAUUACCAGUCCCUUGAAAAAUAAGAUGGAAGAUGAAGUUAGCUGGGCAUCUUGGAGGACAUACUUGUCAUAUAAACACCAGCUGUUGUAUAGUGGAGUUAGAAGAUUUAGAAAUUGAAAUAGACUUCAAUGCACACUCUAACUAACUUUUCAUAAUGAUAUUUACUAUUUACAUCUAUCCUCAUUAUAAGUACUGAAGUUAAUUUUUUUUUUUCUCAGGAAUCUCAUUAAAAAUUAUUUUGUUUUGUGCUCCCUGUCAUUUAUGUUUAACAAAGACAGUUAACAAAAUAUAUAUAUAUAUAAUAAAUAUCUCCCUUUCUCAUCUCAGGUAACAAAUAGUCUUUCUGUAAUCAGACAUUCAUCAGAGUCACUAGCUUAAUCAUUUCAGCUUUGGUUUCUCUUUUGACACACACACACAUAUAUAUCUUUACUAAGGUUCUGAAUUAAUUAGGAAAAAAAAACAAAAAACUCUAAUUACAUUUUAGAAGUUAUAUUAGUACGGUUUCCACUCAAAUUAAUAAUGACCUAGAAAAUGUUUCUGACAUCCAAGAAGAAGAAAAGAAAAAAAAAAAAAAAGUAAUCAAAAACAUGAAAGCAAGGAAAAACUUACCACUUUCAACAUGAAGUCAUUUGAUUUCCAAAAUAAAAACAUCCCUUUCUAAUACAAUUUCUUCUGACCUUCAUCUUGAAACAAAAGGGAAGUCAUCUGGCUACAUUCUUAUUUAGAAAGUUUUAAUCUCUGCACAAUACACAUAAAACUUUGCAUUUUGACUUUUUGAAUGCAAUGAAAGAAGGAUGCAGACACAAUUCUGUAACAUAACAUUAGAAUCCCAACUUCUCACAUAUGUGUAGACACCUGAAACCACUAAAUACUUCAGAUAAACAUGAAAAAAAAAAAAAAAAAAAAAAAAA